rnacentral:rRNA from 1 species
CCUACGGGAGGCAGCAGUGAGGAAUAUUGGUCAAUGGACGCGAGCCUGAACCAGCCAAGUAGCGUGAAGGAUGACUGCCCUAUGGGUUGUAAACUUCUUUUAUAUGGGAAUAAAGUGUUCCACGUGUGCCUUUUUGUAUUUACCCUAUGAAUAAGGAUCGGCUAACUCCGUGCCAGCAGCCGCGGUAAUACGGAGGAUCCGAGCGUUAUCCGGAUUUAUUGGGUUUAAAGGGAGCGUAGGUGGAUUGUUAAGUCAGUUGUGAAAGUUUGCGGCUCAAACGUAAAAUUGCAGUUGAAACUGGCAGUCUUGAGUACAGUUGAGGUGGGCGGAAUUCGUGGUGUAGCGGUGAAAUGCUUAGAUAUCACGAAGAACUCCGAUUGCGAAGGCAGCUUACUGGACUGCAACUGACACUGAGGCUCGAAAGUGUGGGUAUCAAACAGGAUUAGAUACCCCUGUAGUC